rnacentral:rRNA from 1 species
UUGGAGAGUUUGAUCCUGGCUCAGGACGAACGCUGGCGGUGCGCCUUAUGCAUGCAAGUUGAGCGAAGCUUUUCAGUAGUUUACUACAGAAAAUGACUGAGCGGCGAACGGGUGAGUAACGCGUGAGCAAUCUACCUUAGUUACUGGGAUAGCCCGAGGAAACUCGGAUUAAUACCGGAUAUUCUUAUUUUUUCACAUGAAGUUUUAAGGAAAGGUCAGCCGAACUAAGAUGAGCUCGCGUUCUAUCAGCUAGUUGGUGGGGUAAAAGCCUACCAAGGCAACGACGGAUAGCUGGUCUGAGAGGACGAUCAGCCACACUGGGACUGAGACACGGCCCAGACUCCUACGGGAGGCAGCAGU